UUAAAAUAUUUUACUAGAUUGUAUUUAUGGUUAACAGUAUCUUGCACUACAAUUUAUAUUUAGAUAAUCAUUCAUUUUAAAAUUAUUUAUUGAGCACCUACUAUGUGUUAGGUAUUAGGUACAGAGCAAUGAAUACAGCAAGCACAGUUCCUCACCUCGUGGACCUGACACUGUAGUGUGAGAGAUAAUAAGCAAAUGAUAUAAGGCCAUGCAGUAGUUAAAUGCUAUGAAGAAACAUAAAAUCUGGUACAGGGACAGAGAGUAGGGAGGGAGCUCUUGUUAUAAAGGGUGGCCAGGAAAGACCAAGUUGUGUAGCAGAGGCCUGAAGGAAGCCAGGGACCAAGCCAUAUGAAUUUUCUCAGAUAGGUGUAUUCUAGUUAUAGAGAACAGCAACUGGAACGGUCCUGAGAAGGGAACAUUCCUGGAACAUUCAAGAACUAGCCAAGAGAUCAGCAAGUCUAUAGUAAAAAGAAACAUAGUAGAUAGUCAUCUAGUGUUUUCUUCUCUUCCUUCCUAUUAUCUCUCAUACCAUGUCAUGUUACUUUUCUAAAGGAUCUCAAUGGGGAAGAGAACAUCAUUGUCUUUAAGAUUCAAUUUUUUGUGUAUUGAAAGUCUUCAUGGUCAUUCUUUUGAGAUCAUGACCUACUACAACGUCCCCAGGCCUGCAUCCUCCACAGGCUCCAUGAGCAGAAAAGCAGACGAAUAGAAGAGCAGAGGAACAGAAGAAUAGCAGUGUGGCCGAGCAGCGUGGUAGAGAAAGAGGGAAGAGAAGCAGCAUCUGAAUGUUGAGAGGAGUUUGGCUGGGGACAGUCGGAGAGGAGAUUGGCCGCAGGACGACCCAACUCCAGGGGAGGAACAUCUUCCUACUCCAUUCGCUUCCCCACUCCCCAGCCAUUCCACUGAGAGCCACCUCCAUCUGGCAAUAAAAUCUCUUGCAUUCACUAUCCUUCAAUUUGCCUGUGUGACCUGAUUCUUCCUGGAUGCUGGACAAGAACCCAGCAUCCAGGUACCAAGAGGGCACUGGGCUGGAUAACACUUGAGCUGUCUGUGGACGGCAGAGCUAAAAGAGCACUGUAACAUGCCCACUGGGGCUUUGGGAGUUGCAGGCACCCACCCUGGAUGCUACUACCAUGGGGCUGGAGCCCAAAAGUGUUUGCCCCGCCUCCUGCACCUGCCCGUCUGCAUGCUCCCCCUCCAGUAAGGGGUUUGAGUGCACAGAGGCUGAACAGAUGAGCCACACCCCUGUCACACAUCCUGUGAAGGGGGUUAGGAAACUCUCCCAUUUCAUCUUGACCAUCUUUGAGGGACUAUUGAUGCUUUUGGUAUCAGCAGCCACAGAAUUCAUCAGACACAGCACAAAAGAGCAGGAGAAGAGAUAAUGGCAGAUGCCAGAAGGUUGUCCAGCUGGUUACUACCUCUCCUCUUCACCUGAUUAUACCUGAUUACUGCUGACUCGAUGGGCAGGGAGAGUCGCUGACUCCUGACAGAAAGACUCUGUCACCCCUUGCCAUUUAUUUUAGAUCCUGUGAAUCCUACUGUCAAUGUUGUGACACCUGCAAUGCCUGGGAUGAAGCUGCCCAUGUGGUGAGAUGCAGCCUGUGGAAGCCUCUUUUCAGUGGAGUGAGAGCCAAGCCCCCUUGGCUUUUCAUAGACAAUUGGUGAACGGGACAAGGAGACACUGUCCUUGGAUGUCUGAAAAAAAAAGAAAAAGGUUGCAAAACAUGUUGCCAAUAAGAAUGUUGUAGAUGAAAGGCAGGAUGAAGGAAAGUGGUCUUAAUUUAAAUUCUCUAUUUUACUAAACCUACUCUUUAACAAAUAUGUUUAUGUGAGGCAUCAGAAGCAAAUGUAUUUUGGCUUUUAAGAGAAUUAAAAUUGUUUCCCCUAUUUUUUUAUUUGUUUGCUUUGGUGGCUUUGUGACCAAAAAAAUUGUUUUAAUCCAAAUAGCCACAAUAAAUAAAUAAGCAAAUGAAUAAAAUUCCCAGGUCAUUUGAGAGAAAAGAUUAACUGAAAAGGUAAAGCAUCUCCCCCUUUUUAGUUUCAGUUAAUUAUAGUGUCAGGAUGACUUUUUAACUUACCUGGCAAUCUGGAACCUCAUAGAGUCACUUGCGUUUUCAAAAUUUCCAUGUGAAAACAUGAUUGUGCCAAGUACUCCCUAUUAACUUUUAGACAUCAUCUAUAAAAUCACUACAGGAAAAUAUGGAAAUAUCUGAGAGAUACACAGUGGAUCGCCUCAGAAUAAAUCGUUCCCCAAAUCAUUUUAUGACUGCCUGAGUCGGGACUCAUGGGUCAGAGUAGAGUCAUAGUUAAGGUUUGCAACUGGCUUAGUAGCAAGAGGGGAUAAACAAACUAUCCAGGCUGUUGAACUGUCCAGUUUCGCUACAACUGUAUUUACUUGUUGGGAUCAACUGUUUUCUUUCCUAUUAAGGUAUUAGUAGCCACUGAUAAUGGAAGCCAGGGCCCGCUAGAAAUAGACCAGAGGAAAUUUCCUGACUCACUUGCAUAACAACAGUUCAUCAGCACUGAAGAUAUAUGAAGUGUGACUGCAGAGUAAUGGGAGUGAUUAGGUUUCUCUGCACAACAAAACUCUUACAUACAAAUGAGCACUGUCCCCUUCAGGACAGUCCUCAGGGAACCCGUAUGCUUAUUCCGGUGUGUGAUUGGUCUGGAAGCAUUUUUGGAUGCCCUCUGGACAGAAAGUGCUUUUGGACACUGUUAGUGGUGACAAAGUGUGUCCUUUGAGGAUGGAUUAGAUUGUUGGAAAUGAUACAAUGUAUUCACAGUAUACAUCUGUUGUUUUUGUCUACCCAGAAGCCUCUGUCCAAACUUGUGGUUGGAGAGGCUGUAUUUCUUCUGUCGUUCAUUCUGUCUUUGAAGGCUCUCGAGGAGAAAAUAGCUUUUAAUAUCUCUUGGGAAAUGGCCACAUUUUCCCCUGGCAAUUGAACCCAUGGCUUUCUUGAAUGACUACUCCUCAACCAGGUCUAAGUUGUUUAGGUAGGCUGACUUGACCACCAGUUCCAGAGCACAGACAUGUGACGAGCCUGGCCAUAGUCAUUGAUUCAGGGAUGGACACAUGACUGAAACGGCAUGCUGGCAUUUAGUUCUGGUACUUGGAUUUUAACUGUUGGGAGGAGAAUUUCUCACUCUGCUAUGAUAUAAGCAUGAAGCUACUGGCUUCCACUUGCUGCUACAAAGAGCCUGCUUAAAAAUGGAGCCAACAUAAAAGGAAGCAGAUUUAAGACCUGAGCGAUGAGAGCGUGCACAUGUGUGUAUAUCCACAUAAUGAGACUAAGUCUUGAUUUCUGCACCUUGAUCCAGAUAUACCUGGAGCAGAAACUCUGCUGGGACUCUUUUGUAUCAUGAGCCAGUAACCUCCCUAUUUGCCUAGUAGGUUGAUUUGGGCUUCAAUCUUGCAACCAAGUGAGUCCUGACUAAACCAGCAGAAUGGAGCCAGGUAAGGUUCUUUCUCAAGAAGAGAAGAAGGAAGGUAUCAAGACGUUUAUGACAAAUUUCUACUCAACACUGAGCACCUGCUAAGUGCUGGGCCUAAUAGUCGAGAUGCUGCAAUGAACUAGUCCAUUCAGGAUGCUGAGGUGUUUCAGCCUAGAAGAGACUGCUUUUCUUCCUUUGCUCAUGCAGACUCAGGGGGCCAUUCUCAAGGAGGAGUUAGUGACAGGAAUGUCUUUGGCAAAGACAGCACUCUUGAGUGUGGUCAGAACAUGUUAUUUAUUUCCCAAGAUGAUUAGUUUUUGAAGAAGACAACAAAUAGUUGAGGCUAUGAAUUCUAUCUCUGUAAAAAUAGAGUUAUGUUUUCCUCCUGUAGUCAGAUCUCCUGUGGAACGUGAGUAAACAGGAAUUUCUAUGUAUGGAGCAAGGACAGUAUGGUUAGCACAUAAUACAUGUGUUUAUUUCAGAGCUGGGGAGGACUCCUGACCAGCGUGACACCUAACAUUGGAGUGAAGGGGCAGCAGACCUCUCCAGCCACGUGAAACGAGAUCCAGUUUGGCAUUCUGUCUAAGUUCACUGCACAGAGACGGGUUUGGCUCUGUGAUUCAUCAGAAAUAAGAAAAACAAACACUGUAAAUGGAGAACUUGAAAAAGAGGUGGGCACCAUCUCCCCACCCAAGAGAAUGGAUUUAAGAGGAAAUUUGUUUAUGGGAUGAAGUUUUAAAAGGCGACCUGGAAAAUUUAGCAAAGAUGUAAAUAAACAACUCUUCCUUGGAUUGCAUUAGGCUUCAGAAUAAAUAUAUUAACCAGCUUCAGUCAAAGUCUGCCUAGAAUCUGACCCUGACAAGACCCAGUGACUAGUGCUGCUCCGAACCUUCCCCACCAACAGCAGGCAAUUUUCUCUGUGGCAAAGCUACCUCGAAACAGGCAUCCAGGCUUCCCUCCCACGAAGUGAAGAUGAGAAAACUGAGUCUCAGAAUGGACAAGCUCACAGAUGGCAAGUGGUAGAGCAGACUUCACACAUAGCCAUCUGAGUGAGAUGGGAAGCUGAUCCUCCAGCCCUGAUCAAGCCUUCAAAUGACUGCACCUCCAGCUGACAGAUUACCAAAAGCAACCUCCUUCCAGAAGACCUUGAGCCAAAACCACUCAGCUAAGCUACUUCCAGAUCCCUGAUCCUCGGAAACUGUGCGAGACAAUAAAUGUUUAAAUGGCCACCCACUUUGGAAUAAAGAGGACAUAUAAUUUGCCUAAGGUCACAUAGCACUCUCUAAAUCAGUACAGUAUUUUAGACAAAGCUUCAACUUUGCACUUUUAUGGGUCAUUUUGAUAUAAGACUACAAGGAUAUCUCCUCCCAUGACAAACUUGACUUCAUUUACAACAAAAGGCCAAGCAAGAUACAGUACACUGUGGGGAUAAAUGGUACUCACUGAGGACAGGAAUAUGCUGACAUUAUCUCAAUUUCCUCCUCCCUCCUGUUGUUCUCCUUUGGAUGCUUUCCUGGACUAUAGGGAGAAGGAAAAUAGAGAAAGGCCAACUGCGACUAGGCCAGAGAUCAGAUGUUACCUUGUAGGAAGCAUCUCAUUCUAACCUUAAGUACUCUCUUGAUGAAGUACGGGGCCAAGAGAUUUUGGAAUUCUACCACACAAGGUUGCUCAGCAUUCCAAGAAGUAUUGAUAACUCUUCAAGAGCAAAAGUCAUUUAAAUUAAACUUCUCUGGCCGGGCAUGGUAGCUCAUAUCUGUAAACCCAGCACUUUGGGAGGCUGAGGCUGGAAGAUCACU
rnacentral:lncRNA from 1 species